UAAUUGCAUGGCAUACAAUCUUA
rnacentral:piRNA from 1 species